GUCUUGGUACUUAGUGCCUUAACAAUGAUGUAUGACUACUUAUCAAGAAUUUGUUUUCAUGUUUUGAUGACUCUGUUUUUGUUGUUGUGUGCCCUUGAGUCAAUUCCAACUCAGAGCAACCCUAUAUGACAAGAGUAACCUGCCCCAUAGGGUUUCCUAGGCUGUAAUCUUUAUGGGAGCAGAUCGCCAGGCUUUUCUCCUACAGAGCCGCUGAUGGGUUUGAACCACUGACCUUUCAGCUAGCAGCCCAAUGCUUAACCAUUGCCUGACCAGGGCUCCUUUUUUUUUUUAAAUAAUUUUUAUUGUGCUUUAAGUGAAAGUUUACAAAUCAAGUCAGUCUCUCACCUAUAAACUUAUAUACACCUUACUACAUACUCCAACUUAACUCUCCCCCUAAUUGGUCAGCCCGCUCCCCCCUUCCAGUCUCUCCUUUUGUGACCGUUUUGCCAGUUUCUAACCCCCUCUACCCUCCUAUCUCCCCUCCAGACAGGAGAUGCCAACAUAGUGUCAAGUGUCCACCUGAUGCAAGUAGCUCACUCCUCAUCAGCAUCUCUCUCCAACCCAUUGUCCAGUCCAAUCCAUGUCUGAUGAGUUGUCUUCGGGAAUGGUUCCUGUCCUGGGCCAACAGAAGGUUUGGGGACCAUGACCGCCAGGAUUCUUCUAGUCUUAGAUCAUUAAGUCUGGUCUUUUUAUGAGAAUUUGGGCUCUGCAUCCCACUGUUCUCCUGCUCCCUCAGGGGUUCUCUGUUGUGCUCCCGGUCAGGGCAGUCAUCGGUUGUGGCCGGGCACCAUCUAGUUCUUCUGGUCUCAGGAUGAUUAGUCUCUAGUUCAUGUGGCCCUUUCUGUCUCUUGGGCUCAUAAUUACCUUGUGACCUUGGUGUUCUUCAUUCUCCUUUGGUCCAGGUGGGUUGGGACUCAUUGAUGCAUCUUAGAUGGUCACUUGUUAGCGUUUAAGACCAUGACCAGGGCUCCUUUUGAUGAUCUAGUUCAAUAUAACUGAUUUCCUUUGUAACCCUAUGCAUUUGUAAACAUUUAAAAAUGCAAGGCAAAUGAAAUUCCCCAUUAUAUUAGUGAAGGGAGAUCCCGGAAUUACUGCCAUAUGCUUUACUGGUUUUGCUUCUCCAGAGAGCCCAGCCUAAGACACCCUUUAUAUAUUUCCUGAGUCCCUGGGUAGUUCAAAUAAUUAACACACUCAACUGUUAACUGAAAGGUUAGAGGUUCCAGACACCCAAAGGUGCCUCAGAAAAAAGACCUGGUUAUCUACUUCCAAAAAGUCAGCCAUUGAAAACCCUAGGGACCACAAUUCUACUUUCACACAUAUGGAGUCACCAUGAGUCAGAACAGACACCACGGCAAUUGGUUUUUUUGGGCUUAUUUUUUUCCUCUUUAGCUUUCUGUUUCGUCCCACCUAGAUUAUAAAUUACAAGACGGCAAGAACUUUUGUCUGUUUUUCACCUCUGUACCCAGUUUCUGGAAGAGUGCCUGGUGAAUAAGCAGAAUUUGAUAAGCAUUGGUUGAAUUCAUGAAUAGUGAAUUUGAGGAAAACAAGCAACAACAACAAAAAAAAACCCAAGGAGUAUAAGAAAAUCAGUUUAACCAUAUAGAUCCAGUCGGCUCAUGAUGCUUUGUUUAGUGUUACUUGAUUAGAAACAGGUGCCCCUUCUCUGGAAAAACUAAGGCACUCCUUCUGAAAUUACCAAUUUUAAAAAGCCUCCCUUCCUCUGAACAGACGGGGUCGGAAGCACUUGCACAAGGCACAACCAGUACAAUCACAGGUGAUAGCCCUGAAGUAAUCCCCUACUCCUGAUAAUGUAAGCAAUAUUACUUCAGUGCUCUGGAUAAUGUAAUUAUAAACUAGUAUAAUAUAAACCUUGAUACAAUGUAAAUUAGUAAUGUCAUCAAUUAACUAACUACUAAUAAUGUGAUCAUUAUUAAGUGUGGGAAAGGAAGUGCAUUUGGGGGGAGUGGUAUAUAAGAGACCUGAAACCUCUUCUUCCAUAGAAAGAAGUCAGUAGAUACUAAACAUACCUGAAAAAAAUCAAGAAAACAGCAGAAUAUGCCUAUCAUUUAGGAAUAUGAAGACAAUUAUCAGAAGAAACGCCUUAAAGAUGUGGAAAGUGGUUAUUCUGGGGACCAGGAGUCAGGGAUAGGGAGUACCAUAAAGGGAGUACUAUAACAGAGGUCUGCUGUUUUCCUUCUAAAACUUAGAAAACUAUUUGAUUUCAAACUAUGUAUGUUUAAAUUUGACUUUUUAAAUUCUCACUUGGUACCUACAUUCUUCGGAGUUCCUGGGCAAUUUAAAGCAUUAUUAGGAGCAUUCCAAAGUCAAUCCAAGUUUGGUGAUGGGCGCUGAGAAUGCACUCAGUGCAAAAAGUUAAUACCCGGUUGGUAUUUUCUGCAUGUAUAUUACACCAUACACAACUUAACCACACACACACACAGAAUACCAAACUCCUUGCUUUGGAGUAGAUUCCAACUUAUGGCGACCCCAUGUGUUACAGAGCAGAAUUCAGCUCCAUACAGUUUUCUCGGCCCUAAUCUUUACAGAAAUGGAUCACCAGGCCUUUCUUCUGCAGGGCUGCUGUGUGGGUUUGAACCACCAACCUUUCAGUUAGUGGCCAAGAGCAAACCAUUUGCACCAUCCUGGGACCUUAUAAACAAUUUGUUGUUGUUGUUAGGUGCCCUCCAGUCAGUUCUGACUCAUAGUGAUCCUAUGUACAAUGGAAUGAAACACUGCUCAUUCCUGCACCAUCUUCACAAUUGUUGCUAUGUUUUAGCUCAUUGUUGCAGCCACUGUGUCAAUUCACCUCCAUGAGGGUCUUCCUCUUUUUCACUGACCCUCUAUCUUACCAAGUAUGAUGUCCUUCUCCAGCAUGUGAUCCCUCCCAAUAACAGGCCCAAAGUACAUGAGACGAAGUCUCACCAUCCUUGCUUCCAAGGGGCACUCUGGCUGUACUUCUUCCAAGACAGCCUUGUUUAUUCUUCUAGCAGUCCACAGUAUAUUCAGUAUUUUUCACCAACACCAUAAUUCAAAGGCAUCUAUUCUUCUUCAGUCUUCCUUAUUCACUGUCCAGCUUAACCCUGACAAAAACCUCUCUGGUUUUGUAGCAAAGUAUUACAUAUGCACACAUCCAUACAUUCAUACUUCUCAGUGGACAUACAUACAUACUUUGUACCACAAACAUGUACAAAUUUUAUUGAAGCAGAUGAGGUGGUGGACCCACAACUGUGGAGCAGGACAGAUCUCAACAUUCAGAUAAUUCUAAUAUCCCCUCUGAUAUUUGAAGCCACAAAUUUGGGGCAACGUCCAUAGACAGACAUAUCCAAACACCUAAGGGAUCAAAUUACUGGGCUGAGGGCAGUGGGGCCAUAGUCUCGGGGAACAUUUAUCUCAAAUGGUAUAACAUAGUUUAUAAAGAAAAUGUUCUACAUCUUACUUGGGUGAGUAGCGUCUGGGGUCUUAAAAACUUGUGAACAGCCAUCUAAGAUAUUCUACUGGUAUCACCCCACCUGGAGCAAGGGAGAAUGAAGAAAACCAAAGACACAAAGGAAAGAUUAGUCCAAAGGACUAACGGACCACAACCACCACAGCCUCCACCAGACUGAGUCCAGCACAACCAGAUGGUACCUGGCUACCACCACUGACUGGUCCCAGAUAGAGCUGGAGAAAAAUGUUGAACAAAAUUCUAACUCACAAAAAAAAAGACUAGACUUACUGGCCUGACAGGGGCUGGAGAAAUCCCAGAGUAUGGACACCCUUUUAGCUCAGUAAUGAAGUCACUCCUGAGAUUCAUCCUGCAGUCAAAGCUUAGACAGGCCCAUAAAACAAAAUGAGACUAAAUGAGCACACCAGCCCAAAAGCAAGGACUAAAAGGCAAGAAGGGACAGGAAAGCUGGUAACAGGGAACCAAAGGUCCAGAAGGGAGAAUGUUGACAUGUUGUGGGGUUGGUAGCCAAGUCGCAAAACAAUAUUUACUAAUUGUUAAAUUAGAAGAUAGUUUGUUCUGUAAACCUUCAUAUAAAAGUACCAUCAUAAAAAAAAAAAGAAGAAGAAGAAGUUGAGGGGCACCAAAAUGUGACCGGCAGGUCAGGGUGACACAAAACGUUCGUCAUGCCCGCCAAGGACCACAAGCGAGCAAGGCCUCGGGCCGCGCCUCCCGACUGGGGCGGAGCUGGCCCCGCCGAGUCCCGCCCCACAGUCCGUGUCUGCCACUGGUGCAGUCAGAGCCUCUUCCUGCUGGGAAGAGGAAAGGAAUCCGGGAAAGAUAACUGCUGGCUGCCCUUCUCCGCAGCGCUCGAAGCCUCAUCAUGUUCGUCCUCCGAAGCGGCCUGACUAGGGCUCUGGCCCCGCGGCAGCUCGCGCCUCAGAUGUGUUCAUCUUUUGCUACGGGCCCUAGACAAUGUGAUGGAACAUUCUAUGAAUUUCGUACUUACUGCCUUAAACCUUCAAAGAUGAGUGAGUUCCUGGAAAAUGCUGAGAGAAACAUUCAUCUUCGAACACCUCACUCUGAACUGAUUGGAUUCUGGAGGACAGAAUUUGGAGGCAGAUUGAAUAAAGUGUUUCAUAUUUGGAAGUACGAUAAUUUUGCUCAUCGAACUGAAGUUCGGAAUGCCUUGGCCAAAAAUAAGGAAUGGCAAGAACAAUUCCUCAUCCCAAAUUUGCCUCUUAUGGAUACACAAGAUGGGGAGAUAAUUUACCUGAUGCCGUGGUGCAAAAUAGAAAAGCCUCCAAAAGAAGGAGUCUAUGAACUGGCUACUUUUCAGAUGAAACCUGGUGGACCAGCUCUGUGGGGUGAUGCAUUUCGAAGGGCAAUUCAUUCCCAUGUCAAUCUAAACUAUGCCAAACUGGUUGGAGUUUUCCACACAGAAUAUGGACUACUCAACAGAGUUCAUGUUCUUUGGUGGCAUGAGAGUCCGGAUAGUCGUGCAGCUGGAAGACAUCUGUCUCAUGAGGAUCCUAGGGUUGUGGCAGCUGUCCGGGAAAGUGCCAGCUACCUAGUAUCACAGCAGAAUAUGCUUCUGAUUCCUACAUCGUUCUCACCAUUGAAAUAAUCUGCUACUGAAAUGAGACGUUUCAACUACUGUAUCUGCUAGUGAUGCAUGAAUUCUCCCCAGAGAGUCUCAGAUUUGUUUGAAGGAAGUGGUUUCUAUAAUUGGAAUUUCAAGUUGGGAGGAUGCAGUUACGAUCCUGAUGCUGAGCAGUCAUCCCAAGGUGCUCGUGCACACAAGUUCAGAUUCAUGCCUACACAAAAGGACUGCUCACUACAUGUCAUGGCAUUCAGAAGAAGUCACAAGGAGAGCCAGGGCUCCAUUGUCUUGUCUUAAAGCACUGUCAUAACAGGAGUUCUUCAGGUACUGAGAAAAGCAGACAUCUUUUUCUGAAACUUUGACUCAUGAGUAACCAAAAAAAAAAAAAACCAAACGCAGUGCCGUCGAGUCGAUUCCAACUCAUAGCGACCCUGUAGGACAGAGUAGAACUGCCCAUACAGUUUCCAAAUUAGCUAUGAAAAAUGUCUGCAUGUCUCAUCAUCGCACUACAUAACAUUGUAUAUACACUGCACAACUUUUUACAGGAGAAAAGGUAUCUCUGAUGUUAGUCUCAGUAUCAUUUGUAUUUUUGUGCAUCCUCACCCCUAGCACCUUGCUAGUAUAUUUGGCAUACUGUGUCCUUGUAUUUUUGGUUGAAUAAACAAAAGAACACUGAAGGCUGCCUUUGUAGCCUCCUCGAUACCAAGUUAAGUUUUCAUUAAUUAAAUAAACUUAGCUACUGAGUAUUUUCAGUCUCUGCAGCUUCAAAAUCACCAGAGUAAGUUUAUCUAAAAACCUCUUAAAUUUGCUUAAUAACAGUUACUGAAUAUAGUAACUGAAUCAUGAAGGUGCAAAACGCCCUUUCUUUUUAUUUUCAAGGAGUCCCCUGAGUUCUCUUUUGUGAUUAAUAGGACAUUGAAGCCCUUUCUAAAAUUUUUACUUCUGAUCCAAAUAGCUUCCCCUCUACAAGCAGGUAUUUCCUAUUGUAAUAGCUUUAACACAUUUUAACAGUAGGUGGUGCUACGAAUGCACGAAAGUAAAUUUGUAUAGACAACAGAACUGACACUGCUUUAUUUUGUAACUCAUUACAACAUAGAAAUAUACCUUUUUAAUACUUCAUAUAAAGUUAUUGACAAUACAAAUAUUUUUUUUAUUUUUUUUCUUUUAAUGAAAAUGAUUUAACUUAGAAAUCUAUUGUGAAACUUCUGUCUAGUUUUGCAAUUUUUAGAUAUUCCAGUGCAAAAAUAGAUCCCAUUACAGACAGCAUAAAGUGCUUGGAAUGAAGGGCCAAUGAUAAAGGAAAAGCACAAAAACAGCUUCAUCCUAGGGUUUAAGAAGGGAGAAUAGCAUACGUAAUCCUUACUGAAAUAUAAAUAUUCUAUAAAAAGGGAUGCAACAAUUUGAAAAAAAUUAGAGCAUAUUAGUAUAGUACUAAUUUACCAGUAAAUGGAACCCUGAUGGCGCAAUGGUUAAGAGCUUGGCUGCUAACCAAAAAGGUCUGCAGCUCAAACCCACCAAUGGCUUCAUGGGAGAAACAACCUGACGAUCUGCUCCCAUAAGAUUACAGUCUAAGAAACCCUAUGGGGCAGUUCUACUGUGUCACAUGGGGUCGCUAUGAGUCGGAAUGGACUCAAUGGCACCUAAUAACUACAAUAUAUUAGCAGUAAGUAGUAACAGGGGUACAAAUUAAUAUCUCAAUAUCAAAGUGAUUCAGUAUUAUAUGACACAUGGCUCUUUGGAAAUUUUUACCUGAUACAUACAAUCAUAAGAAUAAAAUGUAGACAAAUUCCUUUAGUCAAUGAGUACAGUGAACAGAUGAUGUGUAACAUUUAAUAGUCAUAAAGCAUGUGCUUUCAGUACAGAUAUUGAAAUACAGUAGUUUGAGGUUUGGUUGGUUGUUUUUUAACAAUGAACUGUGCUGGGCAUUUAUUUAUAAAGGGUUGUUUUCUUUUUUUCAUAUUCACAGUUGUUAAUAAAG